GUAGUCUCGCACAGAUGCAUAUCAAUAAGCGGAGGAAAAGAAACUAACAAGGAUUCCCCUAGUAACGGCGAGUGAAGCGGGAAGAGCUCAAAUUUGAAAUCUUAAAGGGUUUCCCUUUACGAAUUGUAGUUUAAAGAAGUGUUUUCUGUUGAGGUUUUGGUAAAAGUUCUUUGGAAUAGGACAUCAUAGAGGGUGAGAAUCCCGUAUUUGACCUUUACUUUCAACUUUGUGAUACACUUUCAAAGAGUCGGAUUGUUUGGGAAUGCAGUCCAAAAUGGGUGGUAAAUUUCAUCUAAAGCUAAAUAUUGGCGAGAGACCGAUAGCGAACAAGUACCGUGAGGGAAAGAUGAAAAGAACUUUGAAAAGAGAGUUAAACAGUACGUGAAAUUGUCAAAAGGGAAGCGUUUGACACCAGUGUUGUUUUUCUGAAAAUCAACUAAAGGACUGUUUAUGCUAAGUUGUUUAGACUUUAUCAGCUAGCUGUUUAGUUUUGAGCUUUUCUUUAAUGCACUUUUCAGUUAACAAGUCAACAUCAAUUUCUUUUGCUGUAAAAAGCUUGAGGAAGGUGGCUUGAGAUUCGUCUUAAGUGUUUAUAGCCUCUUGCCUAUGCAGUCGGAGAGAUUGAGGUCUGCAGCGUAGAUCCUUCGGGGCUAAAUGCAUUUGUGCUAAGUUAUAGCAUUUUAUAGACAACUUGUUGACUAUGAUUUGUCUUGUAGCUUACUCGCUUAUGUUAUUUUACCUACGCUUAGGAUGUUGAACUCUAUCACACACAG
rnacentral:rRNA from 1 species